rnacentral:rRNA from 1 species
AUUGAACGCUAGCGGCAGGCCUAACACAUGCAAGUCGAACGCGUGGCGGACGGGUGAGUAAUGUCUGGGAAACUGCCCGAUGGAGGGGGAUAACUACUGGAAACGGUAGCUAAUACCGCAUACCCUCGGAUGUGCCCAGAUGGGAUUAGCUUGUAGGUGAGGUACAGGCUCACCUUGGCGACGAUUCCUAGCUGGUCUGAGAGGAUGACCAGAGACGCGGGAACUGAGAAACGGUCCAGACUCCUCAGGGAGGCAGUAGUGGGGAAUAUUGCACAAUGGGUGCAAUCCUGAUGCAGCCAUGCCGCGUGUUUUAAGAAUGCAUUCGGGUUGUAAAGUACUUUCAGCGGGGAGGCGUUACCCGCAGAAGAAGCACCGGCUAACUACGUGCCAGCAGCCGCGGUAAUUC